AACGAACGCUGGCGGCGUGUCUUAAGCAUGCAAGUCGUACGAGAAGCCAAAGCUUGCUUUGGCGGACAGUGGCAAACGGGUGAGUAACACGUGGGUAAUCUACCUUCGGAUGGGGGAUAGCACUAGGAAACUAGUAGUAAUACCGCAGAUUUCCUCCUUUCACAAGAAUGGGGGAUGAAAGGCGCCCUCUGUAUAUGGUGCCGUCUGAAGAUGAGCCCGCGCACUAUUAGCUUGUUGGCAGGGUAAGAGCCUACCAAGGCUAUGAUGGUUAGCCGGCCUGAGAGGGUGUACGGCCACAUUGGGACUGAGAUACGGCCCAGACUCCUACGGGAGGCAGCAGCUAAGAAUAUUCCGCAAUGGGCGAAAGCCUGACGGAGCGACGCCGCGUGGAGGAUGAAGGCUUUCGGGUUGUAAACUCCUUUUCUCGGGGAAGAAUAAAAUCGGAAGUAACUGUCCGGUUGAUGACGGUACCCGAGGAAUAAGCCCCGGCUAAUUACGUGCCAGCAGCCGCAGUAAUACGUAUGGGGCAAGCGUUGUUCGGAUUCACUGGGCGUAAAGGGCGAGUAGGUGGCGUGGUUAGUCGGAUGUGAAAUCUCCAGGCUUAACCUGGAAACUGCAUUCGAUACUGCCUUGCUUGAGUAUCGGAGAGGGAGACGGAAUUCCUGGUGUAGGGGUGAAAUCUGUAGAUAUCAGGAAGAACACCAGUGGCGAAGGCGGUCUCCUGGCCGGAUACUGACACUGAGGCGCGAAAGCUAGGGGAGCAAACAGGAUUAGAUACCCUGGUAGUCCUAGCUGUAAACGUUGUGCACUAGGUAUAAGUGGUUUUAAUCCACUUGUGCCGCAGCUAACGCAUUAAGUGCACCGCCUGGGGAGAUGCUCGCAAGGGU
rnacentral:rRNA from 1 species